UAGCGUGAUGCUCCACGCGCUGGUGUUGU
rnacentral:sRNA from 1 species